CCAAGGAGUCUAGCAUGUGUGCGAGUCAUUGAGAUUUAUAAAACUUAAAGGCGUAACGAAAGUGAAGGCGCGCGCUAGCCGCGCGCUCGGGGAGGAUGGGGGUCGAUCAUGCGUCGGCCCCCCGCACUCCCGAGGCGUCUCGUUCGCAAUUUGUCGAUGCAGGCGCGCUCAGAGCACAAAUGCUGGGACCCGAAAGAUGGUGAACUAUGCCUGGUCAGGUCGAAGUCAGGGGAAACCCUGAUGGAGGACCGUAGCGAUUCUGACGUGCAAAUCGAUCGUCGGAACUGGGUAUAGGGGCGAAAGACUAAUCGAACCAUC
rnacentral:rRNA from 1 species